GACGAACGCUGGCGGCGUGCUUAACACAUGCAAGUCGAACGGAAAGGCCCUGCUUUUGUGGGGUGCUCGAGUGGCGAACGGGUGAGUAACACGUGAGUAACCUGCCCUUGACUUUGGGAUAACUUCAGGAAACUGGGGCUAAUACCGGAUAGGAGCUCCUGCUGCAUGGUGGGGGUUGGAAAGUUUCGGCGGUUGGGGAUGGACUCGCGGCUUAUCAGCUUGUUGGUGGGGUAGUGGCUUACCAAGGCUUUGACGGGUAGCCGGCCUGAGAGGGUGACCGGCCACAUUGGGACUGAGAUACGGCCCAGACUCCUACGGGAAGCAGCAGUAGGGAAUAUUACACAAUGGGCGGAAGCCUGAUGCAGCAACACCGCGUGCGGGAUGACGGCCUUCGGGUUAUAAACCGCUUUCGCCUGUGACGAAGCGUGAGUGACGGUAAUGGGUAAAAAAGCACCGGCUAACUACGUG
rnacentral:rRNA from 1 species